rnacentral:rRNA from 1 species
GGGGAAUCUUGCACAAUGGGGGCAACCCUGAUGCAGCGACGCCGCGUGAGCGAUGAAGCCCUUCGGGGCGUAAAGCUCUUUCGACCGGAACGAUAAUGACGGUACCGGGAGAAGAAGCUGCGGCUAACUACGUGCCAGCAGCCGCGGUAAUAAGUAGGCAGCAAGCGUUGUUCGGAGUUACUGGGCGUAAAGAGUGCGUAGGCGGUUUUCUAAGUUCGGUGUGAAAUCUCCCGGCUUAACUGGGAGGGUGCGCCGAAGACUGGGAAGCUGGAGUGUGGGAAAGGCAGGCGGAAUUCCUGGUGUAGCGGUGAAAUGCGUAGAUAUCAGGAGGAACACCGGCGGUGUAGACGGCUUGCUAGACCAUAACUGACGCUGAGGCACGAAAGCGUGGGUAGCAAACA